UGACCUUCGGUGAGUUCUUAGCAAAAAGGGA
rnacentral:piRNA from 1 species